rnacentral:rRNA from 1 species
CGGGGUGAGUAAUGUCUGGGAAACUGCCUGAUGAGGGGGAGUAACUACUGGAAACGGUAGCUAAUACCGCAUAAUGUCGCAAGACCAAAUGGGGGACCUUCGGGCCUCUUGCCAUCGGAUGUGCCCAGAUGGGAUUAGCUAGUAGGUGGGGUAACGGCUCACCUAGGCGACGAUCCCUAGCUGGUCUGAGAGGAUGACCAGCCACACUGGAACUGAGACACGGUCCAGA